rnacentral:rRNA from 1 species
UGGGGAAUUUUGGACAAUGGGCGAAAGCCUGAUCCAGCAAUGCCGCGUGUGUGAAGAAGGCCUUCGGGUUGUAAAGCACUUUUGUCCGGAAAGAAAUCCUUGGCUCUAAUACAGUCGGGGGAUGACGGUACCGGAAGAAUAAGCACCGGCUAACUACGUGCCAGCAGCCGCGGUAAUACGUAGGGUGCAAGCGUUAAUCGGAAUUACUGGGCGUAAAGCGUGCGCAGGCGGUUUGCUAAGACCGAUGUGAAAUCCCCGGGCUCAACCUGGGAACUGCAUUGGUGACUGGCAGGCUAGAGUAUGGCAGAGGGGGGUAGAAUUCCACGUGUAGCAGUGAAAUGCGUAGAGAUGUGGAGGAAUACCGAUGGCGAAAGGCAGCCCCCCUGGGCCAAAUACUGACGCUCAUGCACGAAAGCGUGGGGAGCAAAACAGGAUUAGAUACCCUGGGUAGUCCACGCCCUAAAACGAUGUCAACUAGUUGUUGGGGAUUCAUUUCCUUAGUAACGUAGCUAACGCGUGAAGUUGACCGCCUGGGGAGUACGGUCGCAAGAUUAAAACUCAAAGGAAUUGACGGGGUCAUAGCUG